rnacentral:rRNA from 1 species
UACGGAGGAUGCGAGCGUUAUCCGGAUUUAUUGGGUUUAAAGGGUGCGCAGGCGGCAAGGCAAGCCGGCGGUCAAAUCGCGGGGCUCAACCCCGCCCAGCCGUCGGAACUGCCGGGCUAGAGUGGGCGAGAAGUGCGCGGAAUGCGUGGUGUAGCGGUGAAAUACAUAGAUAUCACGCAGAACUCCGAUUGCGAAGGCAGCGCACCGGCGCCCUACUGACGCUCAGGCACGAAAGCGUGGGUAUCGAACAGG